UCUGCGAAAUCUAUUUGGUUGUGCCGGGGAUAAUUGGUACUCCCCAGUUUCCCUCCCUAUUAACUUGGGUCACUGAGUCUGAAGCGCGGCAGAAACGGGUUUUCGGUCUGGGGCGUUGGGGGUUUAACUUUAGCAGUCGAGAUGGGAGACAAGGAAGACGAAGCUCGCCUGAAACAACUGCAAGAGACUGUAGAUUCCGACCCGAACAACCCUUCUCACCAUUACAAUCUCGGGCUUUUCUUGUGGGAGAAAGUUGAUGAGUCGAAGGAAUUUAAGGAAAAAGCAGUGGAGCAUUUUGUUAUCUCCGCCAAGUUAAACCCUAACAAUGGCUCUGCGUUUCGCUUCUUAGGGCAUUACUACAGCCGUGUGUCAGUCGACUCCCAAAGAGCUUCAAAGUGCUACCAGAGAGCUGUGACUCUCAAUCCAGAUGAUUUUGAAGCUGGGGAGGAUCUUUGUGAUUUGUUGGAUGACGAAGGAAAAGAGAGCCUGGAGAUUGUGGUCUGCCGAGAAGCUUCGGAGAAGUCGCCCAGAGCUUUUUGGGCUUUCCGGAGAUUAGGUUACCUGCAGGUGCAUCAAAAGAAAUGGUCUGAAGCAGUACAGAGCCUUCAACAUGCGAUAAGAGGCUACCCCACGUGUGCAGAUUUGUGGGAAGCUUUGGGUCUUGCAUAUCAGCGACUUGGCAUGCUUACAGCUGCUAUAAAGUCAUAUGGGCGAGCCAUUGAAUUGGAGGACUCAAGAGUCUUUGCAUUGGUUGAGAGUGGAAACAUUUUAUUGAUGCUUGGAUCCUUUAGAAAAGGAAUUGAGCAGUUACGACAGGCUUUAGACAUAUCACCUCAUAAUGUUGCUGCACUCUAUGGGCUUGCUUCUGGGCUGCUUGGUUUGUCAAAGGAAUGUGUACAUUCUGGUGCUUUUGGUUGGGGAACUUCGCUGUUGGAGGAAGCGUCUGAGAUUGUGAAAACAAGUAUACCUUUGGCUGGAAAUAAUGCCUGUUCUUGGAAAUUGCAUGGUGAUAUUCAGCUUACAUAUGCAAAAUGUUUCCCAUGGAUGGAAGAAGGUUUUAGCUUAGAAACUGAUGAGGCUUUUAGAAAUUCCAUCCUUUCUUGGAAAAGGAAGUGUCUUUCAGCUGCAAUAGCUGCGAGUCGUUCCUAUCAGCGGUCUUUGCACUUGGCUCCGUGGCAAGCUAACAUCUAUACUGACAUUGCGAUCUCUCUUGAUCUCAUUUGUUCUUUGGAGGAGAGGAGUAAACCUGAACCAGAUGCUUGGCAGUUACCUGAGAAGAUGUCUCUUGGUGGUUUACUACUUGAAGGAGACAACAAUGAUUUCUGGGUGGCUCUAGGUUGUUUAUCCAACAACAAUGCAUUAAAACAACAUGCUUUUGUCAGGGGAUUGCAGUUGGAUGUAUCUCUUGCUGUUGCAUGGGCAUACCUUGGAAAGAUUUACAGAAAAGAGGGUGAGAAACAAUUGGCGAAGCAGGCAUUUGAUCGUGCUAGGAGCAUAGAUCCUUCACUUGCAUUACCAUGGGCAGGCAUGUCAGUGGAUACUCAUGCUGGGGGUAACACACUAUACGAGGCUUAUGAAAGCUGUCUACGGGCUGUUCAGACAUUGCCUCUCGCAGAGUUCCAGAUUGGUCUUGGAAAGCUCGCUGCUCUUUCAGGCCACCUGUCGUCUCCCUUAGUUUUUGGAGCCAUCCGACAGGCUGUGCAGCGUGCACCUCACUAUCCUGAGUCACAUAAUCUAAAUGGGCUGGUUUGUGAGGCGAGGUCGGAUUAUCAGUCUGCUGUUGCUUCUUAUAGGCUUGCUCGAUUCACCAUCUGUACUUCUAACAGCAUGGGACAAGAUUCCCUCUUCUGUGACAUUUCUUUUAAUCUGGCCAGGUCACUUCUUUUGGCAGGGAAUGCUCUUGAUGCUGUUCGAGAAUGUGAGCUUCUGAAGAGAGAAGGUUUGCUUGAUAGCCAGGGCUUGCAGGUGUAUGCCAUCUCUUUAUGGAAACUUGGCAAGAAUGACCUGGCCCUUUCUAUGGCAAGAAACUUAGCUGCGAGUGUUUCUACGAUGGAAAGCACAUCUGGUGCUACCUCCAUUAGUUUGAUCUUUAAAUUGCUGUACCACAUUUCGGGGAUAGAAUCUGCAGUAACAAGCAUCCUGAAAAUGCCGAGGGAACUAUUGCAGAGUUCAAAAAUCAGUUUUAUUGUCUCUGCAAUUCAUGCUCUAGACCAUAGUAGCAGACUCGAGUCAAUUGUUUCAAUUACACGUCGUUUUGUUACAUCACAUGAGGAGAUUACUGGAAUGCACUCUUUAAUCGCCUUAAGCAAACUAGUCAAACAAGGAUCAGAACUGAACAUGGAAAUUCAGAGUAGAGCCAAUCACCUCAAAAAAGCUCUUCAUAUGUACCCUAACAGCAGUUUGAUAAGGAAUGAACUAGGUUAUCUUUUGCUAUCCAGUAAGGAAUGGAAAGAUACACAUGAAGUUACUAGAUGUGUUGUCGUAGACCCUCCUGGUCGCCCGAGUGUGGAGGCAUCAAAAUCGGCAUACAAGAUUCUAGGUGCUGCUGCAAUUGCAUGCUAUGCCUGUGGUACGACCAACCAAAAGUUCUCCUUCCCUACGUGUAAAGACCGGUUCAUGCAUGAAGGACACGCAACCAAACAAAUGCAGAAGUGGUUACAUCAAGAACCGUGGAACGACAAUGCUCGGUUCUUGCUUCUACUUAAUGUUCUUCAGAAGGCUCGUGAAGAGAGAUUUCCUCAGCAUCUUUGUGUUACACUUAAACGGCUACUAUCAGCCGCUCUCUUGGAUGAAGUAUAUUCAAAGAAAGAUAUCUCUUAUCAAUAUCAGAAGUUCCAACUUCUCCUCUGUGCUUCAGAGAUCAGUUUCCAAGGUGGAGACCACUUUGGAUGCAUCAACCACGCUACAAAUGCAUCAAGGCUCGCUCUUCCUGGUGAAAUUCUAUUUUUUGCACAUCUGCUACUAUGCCGUGCCUAUGCAGUUCAAGAGGAUUUAUCGAGACUGCAGGGUGAGUAUUUGAAAUGCUUGCAGCUCAAGACAGAUAUUCAAAUUGGUUGGGUAUGCCUCAAACUUCUAGUAUCUAGAUACAAACUCCAGAUUGAUUCGAAUACCAUAGACUUGAACUUCGAAGAGUGCUUCAGAGAGAGAAAGAGUACUUCGAAUAUGUGGAUGGCCGUCUUUGAUUUAGUAAGAGGUCAAAUUUUCAUACGGAAUCAGGAUUAUCAUUCUGCUCAAGAAACAUUUGCACAUGCUUGUUCGUUGGCAAGAGCAGAUAGUUGUGUCCUUCUAUGCCAUGGGGCCAUUUGUAUGGAGCUUGCCAGGCAGGGGUAUGGUUCGCAGUUCUUAUCUCUGGCAGCAAGUAGUCUCAGAAAAGCUCAAGGGUCCGCUGUCAUUCCUCUCCCUAUUGUAUCUGCAUUGCUGGCUCAAGCAGAAGGAAGCCUUGGCUCCAAAGCAAAAUGGGAGAAAAACGUCCGUCUUGAAUGGUUUUCUUGGCCACCAGAGAUGAGGCCUGCAGAAUUGUAUUUUCAAAUGUAUUUGCUUGCAAUGCAACUGAAAGCUGGUUCUGAUUCUGCAUCAAAUAUUGAGUCCUAUCAAAGUCCGAAGAGAUGGGUUCUCCGAGCAAUACAUUUGAACCCAUCCUGUUUACGAUACUGGAAAGUUUUAUCGAAGGUGGAGCGACUGCCCUAGUUCGUGGGUACUAAUUUUACUGGUUAGGGCUAAGGUGAAGAGCAAUUGAACUACUCCAGCUACUCCAAGGUUUUGAUAUAUUUGUGACUCGGUUUAGGAUUUUGAAAGAUAACUUUUUUGGGGAAAAGAAUGCUCUCUGAUCGCACGGCCCUUGUCCCAGCGCAGGGGUGCACAUGGACAGUUUCAUAGGGGUGGAGGUGUCAUUUUGUUGCUCUCUAUGUUUGGGUGUAAGGCCACGUGAUCUGGGAUCAUUCUUUUUUUAUUUAUUUAUUAUUAUUAUUAUUAUUUUUUUUUUAUAAUUUGGGGGAGGGGUUUGGUAAAGGUGAUAUCUUUGAGUGUUGGGGAGAGGUCCUAGUAACUAGUAAGGGUGCCAAUCCAUUGGAUUCUGGUUGGUUCAAGAUAUAAUUUGUACAAACUGAAACCGAAUAAUUUUAAUAACUUCAAGUGUUAUUCAGUUCCUAUUUUGUUUC